UCUAUCUAGUAACUUUCCUUGCUCUCAAAAUGUCUGUAAACUUCACUUCCAAAAAUUUCCAAAUAAUCUUCUACUUCUCUACAAAUUCUACAAACCAAAAUCAUUUACAAAAUCUCGUGCAAACUUCUCAAUUAAAAUAUCAAACAUUCUGGUGUGUAAUUUAGUGGAUCGAUUUCUGCAACGUGAUACAUGGCGCCAUCUCGUCAACGAGAAGUUUGUUGCAUCGUUGCAUGUUCCAUGGCAGUAGGCGACCCUGUGUUUUGUCAGGUAGAUAGGUUGCUCGUUCCUUCUUCGAACGUGAAUUUCAAUUCGAAAACCCGUCAAAUAAGAGGAAGUACGAUGUAUACAAUAUAUAGCGGGCACCGAAACUCUUGUCGAUCGUUUCGUUUAAGAAUCGUCUCGGUCCAAGUGGAAAAAAUCGCGCGCAUGUUUUAGGUUAAACCGUACGGAGUCGGUCGAGUACAUAACAAUGCGCUGCGUGAGAAAUUCAUACGGUGAAAGUCUGUUGGACGUCGUGCAAUCGGAAUUCCGACGAAGCGAACGUUGUCGCGGUCUCUUCGCCGCUUUCUGACCGCCUUCCUCUUUGAUCGUGCGUGCAUCUCAUCGUGUGCGUUUCGUUCGCGGUGCAACAACAGUCUGGUAGGGGGCAAGAGAGGGAGAGAGACAGCGAGAAACAGAGAGGGAGAAAAAUGCCGAGGAUGCUCGAGUGGCGAUGAUUCCGCUCAAAUUUCGCCGCUGUCCAAUUUCAUAUAGGAUUUCCCCGCAUUGCACAUGCAACGAGUGACGGUAAACAGAUUCACGUUCCGACGAACAUACGCGCUCGCGGAAUGGAAAUCUAACUGCUCUCCAAACUGUUUUCCUCCAUCGAAAGGGUAAUAGAAUAAUUGAACAUGGCAGAUGAUGAGGGUACAGAAUGGCUGCAAGAACUGUUGCACGAUGUUCAACUUUCACAGUUUUUCACCAGAAUAAGAGAUGACCUACAAGUCACUCGACUACACCACUUUGACCAUGUACAACCGGAAGAUCUUGAACAGAUAGGAUUAGGAAAGCCAGGUAUUAGAAGAUUACUAGAAGCAGUGAAGAAAAAGAGAACUACACAAUGGAAGAAAAGCUUGAUGACCAAGAUCAGGCCUGGAAGUAGCACAAAAAGCAAUAAAAGAUCUUCUCAACCAGUUGAAGGUUCCUCAGUGCUAACAUGUCUUAUUCAAGAUAAAGAUGUGACACUAUCUGAUAAACUGGGUGAUGGUAGUUUUGGUGUAGUGAGACGUGGACAAUGGACUUCUCCUUCUGGUAGGAUAUUACCAGUUGCUGUAAAAGUUCUAAAGGCUGAUGCUCUGACUCAGCCAAAUGUUAUUGAAGAUUUUGUGGCAGAAGUUCAAGCAAUGCACACAUUGGAUCAUCACAAUCUCAUUAGGUUAUAUGGAGUAGUGUUAUCACAACCGAUGAUGAUGGUGACAGAACUAGCCCCACUGGGAGCCCUGCUCGAUUAUCUGCGAAAACAGUGCAGUCAAAUUUCAGUAUUAACGUUGUGUAACUACGCUUUGCAAGUGGUCACGGGUAUGGCAUAUUUAGAAGCGAAACGUUUUCUGCACCGCGACUUAGCUUGUAGGAACGUUCUUCUAAGUUCAGUGGACAAAGUGAAGAUCGGUGAUUUCGGCCUAAUGCGAGCACUGCCGCAACAAGAAGACUGUUAUGUGAUGACUGAACAUAAAAAAGUGCCGUUUCCUUGGUGUGCUCCAGAAUCACUAAAAGCGCGUAAAUUCAGUCACGCGUCGGAUGUGUGGAUGUUUGGUGUGACAUUGUGGGAAAUGUUAACGUUUGGUGAAGAGCCGUGGGUAGGUUUAAAAGGAUCGGAGAUUCUUCGAAAAAUAGACAAGGAUGGUGAACGAUUACACGAACCAGAAGCAACACCACCAGAUAUGUACCAAUUAAUGCUUCGUUGCUGGGCUCGGGAGCCUUCAGAACGACCAACCUUCGCUUCUCUAAAAUCUUCUCUCACAGGAAUGGUCCCAACUGUAAUGAAAGCUAUCAGUCACUUCACGAUGGCUGGCAAAAUGACCAUAGAACAGGGUGAUCAGAUAGUCAUUUUAGACGGACGGCCGGAGAAUUAUUGGUGGAAGGGUCAGAACCAGCGAAGUUUUCAAAUUGGGCUUUUCCCUCGUUGUUUUGUCGAUCCUAUGAGACGAAAACAGCGUGAAGACAUCAGCAAGCCGUUGGAGAAUUCUUUUAUCCAUACUGGCCAUGGUGCACCUUUUGGUAAAAGUUGGGGUAGUCCUAUUUACAUCGACGACGUGUAUCUUCGAAAUCCUAUGGAGCCACCCGAUGUCGUUGGAGUAACUGUUCCUCCAGAUAGUCUCGUGAAGGAUAAAUACUUCGGUACACCAAGAUCGCGAAAACAGUUUAAUUAUACAAAAUUACAGAAUGAUAUCGGAGCUAGUCCUGUGAAAACGUUGAACGCCUCUGUUCCUAGUGGCAGUCAGGAGGGCAGUUUGAUAGAUCUGUCCCCGGAGGAAAUGGUGAACACGAGUGAGGCGCAAUCGGACACUGCCUGUCGACGAGUCGUCAAUAUCCUUGACGAGCCAAUUGACGAUUUGGAACGGCAACAACAGACGAGUUGGCAGGAUGAGGAUCCUCGAACUUAUGCCAACUUCCCUGGCAACGUCGACCCGGCUUAUUCAGAUCCGUUCGAUACUUCUUCGGUAUUUAUGAAGCUGCCUCAUUCGAGAUAUUACAGUCACGUUCCAUCCGACGUGAGUAGUAGGUAUUUCAAGACACAAACGUAUGGAAACGUGCAAAAUCAGGACGUUGGCGGUAGCAGCCAGGACAGUACAAAUUAUUUUACACCAGAGUCCGGCUCAGAUGUGAACCAUUAUUCCCUUAACCUGAGCAAGGAGAGUAGAAAUGAUAGUAUCAAUUUGAACGUGAACGUGGACACGGAGGAAAAUAAUGCAUAUAGUCAGAAUCACUAUAGUGAGAUCGAUAAGCCUAGUCCACCUAUGGCAAAUUGGUCUAAUUGGCCCGAGGAUAUGCAAAGUGAAGCGCAGACAUACGUGAAUGUCUCUAGUCGGAACUUGCAGACCUCCGACGCGCCUCCUCCUCCACCUGUGGCUCCCAACGAGAGUCCUCCGAAACCAAAAUCGAAUCACGAUUUGGCCCAAAGUUUGAAUGAGCUAACAAUUAAUUCUUGCAAUGUUUCUCCUAAAAAGUUGGACCCCACUUUCUUAGCUGAGCUGGAGAAGCAUUUAGGUGAAAAGGAAGCGAGCAAGAACAUGAUCACCAGUCAACAGAAUCCAGAUUCGUCUGAUCCGUAUGCGUCUGUUAAUAAAUUACAAGAUAGUACAAUUCCAGCAUUAAGGCCUCCACCUCAGACUAUCAAACGCAAGUCUCCUCAGAUGGACUAUAGAAGCACCAAUCUACCUAGCAAGGUUCAGAAUUCGUGGCCAUCGAAGAGUACGAACAUACAGCAGCCUCCCAGGCCGCAGCCUGAACAACGCUUAGAAACGGCAACAGAACAGAUGGUGGGUCAAAUCUGGCAACAGUCUCAAGCUCAGCAGCAUAGUGCCUAUGGUACUGCUCAGGGUAACCUGAAUCUGUUGCAAAUAGCUCCUAGCAAUGUGUCCAAGCCAACCUUCAACCACGCACAGAACUCGUUACCGACGGCAAACCAGGCUAGCCACUUUCCAAAUCCCACAUUACCAACUGGCAGUCAUGGGAUAACGCAGAUUCAAAAUGAUCUUCACCAAGCACACUCCAGCAACGUUUCAAAGCCUCCAAAUGUGGUGUUUUCGGAACAAGUGUACGCAGAGUUGAAACAGACUGUACCAAACCUAGACCAACUGUCUCAAAACGAGUUUAAUACGCUAUAUAACAAGACAGUGCAGCAGAACAUUCUAAGGAACUAUUAUGCAGCUAGUACGUCGGGUGCAGGUGAUUCAGCCAGCAAUCUAAGUCAUAGUCACUACUUGGAGGGAGCUGCAGCCAGCUCCCAGGCUCGUUCUGGUCAGACUACGAGGAAUAUUUUUGGUCAAGGUCAUCCCUGUGACUUUAGUCCUCACCUGAAGCAGCCUCCGGUAUACAAUCCUCCGCCUCCAGCAACGUGGAGUCCCAUGAAAUCGGUUCAAAACGAUCUUGGACAAGGCCAGACUGCAAUGAAGUCCAAUUUAGCUAGCAAUUUGGCUAACAGUCCCAAUCUACUUCAGCUCACGCACACUAACCAGCCUCAAGAGGGCGCCAUGACGCUGCAAGCAUCCUCGACGAGAUGUCUGCCUCCUCAGAUGACAGAGACGGUCGUUAAUACUCAAUUAGCCCCCUCCACGUCCGCGUACCCCUCUGGUGUCAGCCCCCCAUUGACCGCGGCCUCUCAACAGCUGGUCAUGUCCCUCAACGAUGAAUUUCGAGCGAACAAAGUAAUGAAGGUGCAGAGAGAGGCAGCUGACGCAUCACAACAGGAAAUACUCAUCGCGCUACAGGCAACUGGCUGGGACACUAAUCAAGCGGCCAAACAGAUCCUGAAAGACAGGCAGGCGAAGAUCGAGUCCCUUUUUAGAUUGGGCUUGGCAGAUCGACAACAGUGCGAGGGUGCUCUGAAGCAGACUGAAUACGAUGUAGAUUUAGCGGCUUCCCUUUUGUUAGAUCAGGUCAAAUGAAGUCAGAUAUUAAAAGCGAGCGCGCUCUUAUUGAAGAUAUUGUAAAGUAACUAUAGCAGUAAAUAUAGGUAUAUGUAUUUAUAAACGAUAGCCAUACAAUGCGUAAAACGAGGCUACGGGCUCCAAGUAUAAUUAAUUGUCUGCUGAAAAAGACAUCUUCUUAAGACUACGAUACCGCGUCUCGUAAACGUAAAGCCACCCUAAAAUUCCAAAUUCUAUAAAUUCACAUUUUAUAGUAUUAAACCGUUUAUUAUCUUUAUUAUUGUUAAUUCGUGCUCUUCGUAUUAUUUAAUAGGGCGGGGGGGGGGAACAAUUUUCCACCGGAAUCUUAUUUUUAAAAUUAUUUUCACGAAAAUAUGAAUUUGUAGAAAUAUUAUAUAGAAACAGAAAUAAUGUGAACAUGUUCGGGCUGGUUUUAUAAUUACGAGAUAGAUAGGAUAUUUAAAAUUUUUCGAGGCUCUAUGAAAGAUUAUAAAAUAAUUUCCGUGAAGGGAAUGAGUAUUGAUAUUUUUCUACUUAUUUUCUCUUUUAUUUUUACUCCCCUCUUGUUUUAUUACAAUUUGGUGAAAACGAAGGAGCACAAGUUGCAUUCCAGAAAUUAGAGAAGAAAUAAAGAAAAAUUGCGUGAGCUACCGUAGCGAAUCGUGUCUCCGAAAGUAGAAAAUAAAAUUGUUACUGUUGGGCCAGCGUGUAACUGCAACAUCGACGCAGAAUGCUUUACGACAAGAAGGAUGGCUGGGGAUGAAAAUUCACGUGACCGCAAGUAAAUCUCACAGAAGAACCAUGUGUGUUCCAUAUAAGCUGUGUCAAUUCCGUGAAAAAAAUGAGAACUCUUCCAUGGCCGCUGUUUCAUGAAUAUUUAUGACAGUAUCACUGUGAAAGUGCUUGUAAUCGCCUGACUUUUUAUGAUCGAAUUCCACAAGAAAAUCGCAGAGAAAUUGCAAUUGAUGGUGUCAUCGAUGACUAGACGAAAAAUUCAUUUGCCGCAAGAACAAUUAAAUCAUUCUGUUAGAGAAGAAGAAUUUUAGCUUGGUAAUUCUUGGACUCUCUUGCACGAUAAUUUCACUUAAAAUAAUUUAACGAAUUGUACUUUAGUUUCUGUCGUUCAAACAGGGCAUAAUCCCCUUCUUGUACCAUAAUUUAUUAACUGGUGGUGAAUAGACAAAGGACACGUCAUUUCUUUAAAGAUUAUAUUUUCUGACGAUCUAAUUUUCCUUUGGUCCGCCAAUUAAACAACUACAAGCUUUUGUAGAUUUGCAUUGCAAGGAAAUUGUAUAAAUAAGAGUCAAUUCUAAGAUAAAUUUUAACAUGGAUACUUAUCUGUACAUUUCAAUUUAUGAAGUUAAUGAAUGUGAUCUCCUGAGAACGGCCCGGUCGUGAUCUUUCGUACGUGAAACACGAUAUACGGAUUAAAACGUGGCAAACUCUAAAAUUAAGUAAAAUGAAGUUGACGCUCUCGCGGCGCUAGUGUCGCUCCACUAAUAUCGUCAUCGUGUUAAUAUUAUUUUAUACGUUUGAAUAAAUGAAGAUUCUGCUGUAUAACAAGUUUUAAGAGUUUAGCAAGGACCAAUUAUCAUUGCAAAGAGCUUCGGGUCCAACUGACCAAAACCAGAAGCACAUAGAGAAUUCCUGACGGGCACAAUUCUGUGCGAGCAACGUUCUGUCAAUUCGAAUUGCAUGAUCAGCACACAAAGCCAGCUUAGCCGCCAGUUGGGGCAAAAACUGUCUCCGAUCUGGCAUAGUUCUAGCCUUAAACGUACACAUGGUUGUCGAGUAAAAGCAAUGCAAUCGUGGCUGACGAAAGCGUUCGAGUCCGAUAGAAAUACAGUGACUCACGAAAGUGUUUGCAUACCUAUCGUAGAAAACUUUGAUAUAUAUAUAUAUAUAUAUAUAUAUAUAUAUAUAUUAUACAUGCUAUACACAGGGGUACAGUUUAGGUUGGGGUUAGGUUGGGGUUAGGUAAUCAUAGUAGAAUCGGGCAAGGGGUGAUUCUACGUGAAAAAAAAAAAAAAAUAAGGAAAAAUCUCGGGAUAACAUUUUUUCAUUUUUCUUUUUCGAGAAAAUCGAGUUUGAAAAUUUGGUAAGUAGAUUUAAUUUCGGUCUGAACAAGGAUAAAUAAUCGACAUUUAUCAUGCUUUAAAUUGCACUUGAAAAUAAGACAAAAAUGAAGAAUACAAUUGUUUUCAUAGGAAACUGCAUUUCCGAGAAAAAUAAAUUAGAAACUGUGUCGUGCGUGCUCGCGUACACGCCAGACCAAUUCGUUUUCAAGUAAACGUAUUCAAACGUUAUUUUCUUGGAAAUGAGGCAUUGAACGGAAAAGUUUCGACGUAUUUGCGUGUGUAUAAUAACCCCGUAUUGAUUAUUUACUCAUACCUGUGCUGCAUGUGGUCGAGCUAAGGUACAUUCGACAAAUUUUCAAAGUUGAUUUUUUCGGAAACGAAGCAUCCAAUGAAAAAAUUGCAUUCCAUAUUUUCGACUUAUUUUUUCACGUAGAAUCAGCCCCUGUUCGAUUGUAUUACGUUUCUCGUCCGACCCCGCAUAAUUUUGAAAUUUUAUUAGCAUUAUAACGAGAAAUCGUGGUUACGUUGGUGAAGUCCGUAGUGAUUUUGGAACCAAUUUCCUAUCUCGUUACAAUGCUAAUGAAAUUUCAAAAUCUUUCAUACAUGGCACGUAAUGUGUACAUAAUAUAUAUGGCAAGAUUUCUACGAGUAUUCGAAUAUUUUGAUGAGCUGCUGUAAAUGUACAUGUGUAUAGAAACGAUUUGAUACUGCAUACAGGGGGGAAAGAGAUUGCCAAGUAGCGAGAAGUGUUGAAUUUUUGUAACUGUGAUAUGCAUUACUAAAGGCUCUAGCGUUCAGAAAUAGAAAGAAAAUGAGAGAGAACGAGAAAGAUUUGUUGUCCUUAUUUAGAAUUAGCGAUAUACCGACUAGGUUAUACUCGUCCAAUACGAGAAGUGUACAUAGCCGUUUCUAGCGACUGAGUUAAUAUUAUACGAUUCCUUUUUCCCUUUUUCUUCUUUUUCUGACCAAUGCGAGGUCAAUUAGUUCAAAAGACGUUCGAGCGUAAUUGGGACGUGUGCUUGAUCGUUUCUCCUAACUUUCACUACCGUUGUAUUCUUCUGUGCAGAAAGGAGUUACAUAUUUGGUAGAUUCCUUUGAUAUUGAUUGGUCUUUGCAUUAAAUUUUCAAUAAAUCGAAAAGUUAUCGAUUACUGGUUGAUUUUUUUCUUUUGUUUAAAAUUCAAUUUGAUCGAACUUGAUGCUAGAUUUAAUCGCGCUGUAUUCUUCGAUUUACUUUAGAUCCAAUAGCAUUUCUCUGUCGUCAACAAAUUAUAAUAUACUAUCAGGUUUAAAUUCGAAAAGAUCGUUGUUCGUUCCAAUUUCAUGUUAAAGGAUUUCGUCAGUAUAUGGACAUUUUAUCAAAUACUUGUAAAAUAGGGUCUAUCCCUAAUUUAAACUGUAUAAUUUAAAAAACUAUUAUACAUUUAUGAAAAUUCCUUUCUGUACAGAAACAAGUUGUACAAUGAAAACGGGAAACACUGUGAUUGUCAUACGACAAAAGCCACCCAAUCCGUAUUUUCCAAAUUUAACCUAAAAAGUCAUUAUUUUUCUAAGUCAAUUCGUUUUUAACAAAAUAGAAAGAUAAUAAACGAGGAAACUAUAAAAAUACGACAUUGGCAGAGUUUCCCAUUUCCAUUCCACGAACACAUCUUACCCGAUCGACUGACAUCUCGAUAUAGUUCGAUUAUGGUGUGCACAGAGCGCGCAGGAAAAUACAAAAGCGCGCUAUUCCAUUGCGAUACCGAAAGUUCAGUCAAGAUGAGAUAACUCGUGUUUGAAAAAUCAUGCGAGAUACGCUCUCUAAUUAAUUUCUUGAAAUCGAAUGUCCGACUCCUAACCUACUUUAAUCCAAUGUUUCCUAAAAUGUACGCGGACGCUUAUGUGUGUCAUGGCUGCCGUUAUGGAUCGAAAAAAAUGUUCGAUACAUCGCCAAUAAAACGUAAAUGACCUGAGAUUCAGGAUUUCUUUCAUUUACAUGGUCAAUAUAUCAUGGUUAAUUAAUGUUAAUGGUUCACAUAAUUGAAGUUAGGGAAAUAUAUAACUACCUAACCCUAAACCUUAUGAUGGGUCCCUAGGGUUUAUAGGAUUUCUAUGGAUUCAUAGGAUCUAAGCGAUUCGUGGAUCAGGAGAUUUCUAACUAACGAGCCUUUAAUCUAGAAAGUUAUUGUUAUAUAUUUUACCACUUUGACUAUUAUUGAACGUUGUUUGGGAAGUCUGUAGAAAAGUUUAACAAAGUUUCAAAAUUUAGAAAUUUAAAAUUUGAUAAAUAAGUUUUCUUUCAAAAAUUCUUCGCUGCCUACUGACUUAAUCGAUCAUGUUUCGAAAGACCGUCUCUCUCCUCUUCUUCUAACAUGAAUUCUUUUAGCAGACAGCGAAAAGCAAAGACCGGAUCAAAUUUCAUAGAUCGAAUUUCAUGCAAUUACUAGUGAAUUAAAUUGGCUCGGCUAAAACCCUGACGCCACCUUGAUGAUGCAUUGCCCCUCUUACGACCAAAUACUACGAAGAGAUGAUCAAGCAAGGAGUUAAUUAUCAAAUAUAAACUCCAACUAGAAUUUACUCAAAUUCAUCUUAAACUUGAAAGAACACAAUGAAACUUUCCAAACAACCCACCACUAUAGUUGUUCAAUAUCAAUGUUACUAUAAUGACUAUCUUAAUAUUUCUCACCGUCUUUGAGCUUGCCUGGAUUUCUCCAUAAAUACCAUCGGGCUACGCAGACAUUUUAAACGCCACAUACACAAUAAUGGAGGAAUCUUCCAAACGAACCUAACCUAUGAAAGUACAGAAUUAAGUUCAGAAUAAAAGUUCAGAAUUUUGAGGAUUUAAGACAUAAAUAUUCAGAAAUUCUGCUCUUACCAGUUAAUCGUGACAGAUUAAUGUUUUAAUAAAAAGAAAUCGUCCGAGUGCUAUCGAUGUAUGGACUUUUACGUUGAAACAGGAAGAUGGCUGAUCGAAAAAGGAACAAAGACGGAAAUUGUCGAUGUUCGGUUGAACGCAUCAAGGAAAGUAGAGGAUGAUUCCGGCUUUCUACCAGUUUCAGUUUUCGAUAGACCGGAACCUGGUGAAUGUUAGCGAGUUUGGGCGGAAAACAAGAGUAUUUUGUUAUGGACGCCAUCAUGGUACAGCUCUUCAGGGACGAAUCUAUUAAGGGCGGAUAAAGAUGAUUUAUUUUUAUUUUUCUAAAGAAGGAUUCUUACUUAAAAUUGUCCAGUUUUGUAUCUGUUUUAUUGUUCAUCGAUAGCAGCAACAUAUGGCCAAUAAAACAAAAGGGCUUUAUACAAUGAAGAGUACUUAUUCAAAAUAACGUCCAUAGUAAUUUUUGAAAUCGUGAUUGAAUUUUUAAAAAGAACUUAGAUAUAUGCACCAAUGUCCCUGAAGAGACAAAAUGUAUCAGCUGAUCGACAAAAAAAAAAAAAAAAUCGAAGACAUCUAUUUCCCUUGAUUAUUUAUUUGUGAUUAUCGAAAGGACCUUCAGUUCGACUUUGUAAUUCUAAUUAAUUUUUAUCUAGUACCCACUAAUGUUCAUUUGUGAUCAUAGCGUUAUUACGUUUUACAGCUGCCUUGUGAUUGAUUGAACCUUCGAUUGUAUUAAAUGUAUCGAUUAAUUAUAUUUUGUAUACUGAUUU